CUAAGAGGAGUGAAGAAGUGGAUUAAGUGGAUAGUUAGGGUAGUCGAUAAAUGGAACUAAGGAGAGUGAAGAAGUGGAUAAAGUGGAUAGUUAGGGUAGUCGAUAAAUGGAUUAAGGAGAGUGAAGAAGUGGAUAAAGUGGAUAGUUAGGGUAGUCGAUAAAUGGAUUAAGGAGAGUGAAGAAGUGGAUAAAGUGGAUUGUUAGGGUAGUCGAUAAAUGGAUUAAGGAGAGUGAAGAAAUGGAUAAAGUGAACAGUUAGGGUAGUCAAUAAAUGGAUCUAAGGAGAGUGAAGAAGUGGAUAAAGUGGAUAGCCUGGGUAGUGGAUAAGUGGGUCUGAGUCAAGAAGUGGUAUACAGUGGAUAGUUUGAGUAGAGGAUAAGUUAGUUGUAGUUCUACCUCCCUCUUCUUAUAAAACCACUUUCUUGGAUUUGCUAGUUUGGAAGUGGAUAGAGUGGAUAGUGUGGGUAGUAGAUAAGUGAAUAGAAGGGAUAGUUUGAGUUGUAGAUAAGUGGGUUCAAGUUCUUUACUAUCUCCCUCUUAUAAAAAUAUAGUCCUUUAUUUGCUAGUUUCAAAGUGGCGGAUAAGUGAGUUUCAGUUCUCUCUCUCCCUCAUGUAAAAAGAAAAUAGGUUUGGAUCUUUUAGUUUGGAAGUGGGUAAAGUAUUUGGUAUGGAUAUUAUAUAAGUGAGUUGUAGUUCUUUUCUCUCCCUCUCCCAGUAAAAAAUAGUCUUGAUACGAGGAUUUAAAGUCUAGUUCUCAUAAGUAGUUAGUGGACCGUAGAUAAAGUGGAGAGAAAGGAGAUUUAUUUUAAGUUUUCCGGCUUCUCAUAAUAAUAUAUCAUCAUAUGUUGACUAUUCUCCUAAAGCUUCUGCAGCCUCUAUUAAUCAUUUUCCUCUUAACAAAAUUGGAGAUGGAUGGAUGGGUGAUGAAUAUGAGAUGCGGGAGUAAACAACCUCUCCAGCCGCCCCCGAUAAAGGCCUGGAAAGUGAAGCGGAGAGGAAGCGAAGAGAAAAUGUGAUAAAAGCGAGGGUAAAACAUCGACUCGUAAGCCCCGGUGAUGAGUGGGAAAGGGCGCGACUCAUUAGGUGUCCGGGAAUCAUUUUGACGCGGAGGCUGAGCGGUAAACAGAGGAAAGGCGAGAGGUGAGUGUCCGUACGGCUUUCACUUGCCUUUCCUGGAACCCCUUAAGGUGGAUAGACGAGGGAUUUUACGAGAAUACGCCGUUGUUACCUCGACUUGCUUGCUUACUGUCCUGCGUUUAAAAAGGGACUGAAAAUACGAAGAAAAGGCACAGAAAGAGAUGGAGGAUACAGAUAUACGAAAAAAGGAACAAAAAGAGAGAAAAGUUACAUAUAAAAGAAACUGAUUGAAUGUCGGGCUUACUAUGACAUGAAGAAAAGAGCAAAAAGGAACAGAUGAUACAAGAAAAUACAACUCUGAUAUAAUGUCGAUUUACUUAAACUCACUACGAAAUAAAGAAGAUAAAUACUAAAAAGAGACAUGAUACAAAUAAAGAAUAAACAUAAUUACUUUAACUUGAUUGAAAUGAAGACAAAGGCGAAAAAAAAAAAAAGAAACUGGAUACAAGAAAAAGACACACUGAUAUAAUCUCGACUUACAUUUAACUUAAUAUAAAUAAAAUAAAGAAAAGGCAAAAGAGAAACAGAUAAUACAAGAAAAUUAAACAGUGAUAUGAUGUUGACUUACUUCUUACUCACUGACAAAAAAAAAAAAAAAAAAUCGGUGUAAACUCGACUUAUUUUUUUACUCACUGACAUAAGAAAAAGAAAUCGGUGUAAACUCGACAUUUCUUACUCACUGACAAAAAAAAAAAAUCGGUGUAAACGACUUAUUUUUUACUCACUGACAUAAGAAGAAAAAAUCGGUGUAAACUCGACUUAUUUUUUUACUCACUGACAUAAGAAAAUGGGUGAAAAAAAGGGAAGACAAGACGAAUACUAAGGAAGCGGGAGUUGUUAUCGACUUUUCUCAUUCCCCUAGAGAGAAAAAGGUGAAUGGAACACGUACAGGAGGAACCAUUUAUCAUCGCCCUGUGAACAGAGAGAGAGAGAGAGAGAGAGAGAGAGAGAGAGAGAGAGAGAGAGAGAGAGAGAGAGAGAGAGAGAGAGAGAGAGAGAGAGAGAGAGAGAGAGAGAGAGAGAGAGAGAGAGAGAGAGAGAGAGAAAACUACUCUCAUUAUUGACACCCCACCACUCGCUCAUACGAAGGUGGAAAUAAGGAAGGAAGGAGGAAGAGGAAUUAGACAACGAAAAUAAUUGAGGCCUGGGCUAAUCCACCGUCCUUCACCAUCCAUCACCAUCACCGUAAUAAGCGUCCGGGUGAAAAGAAAACUCCCUUUCAUUUAUCUUAUUACUCCUGUUGCUCGCAUUUCACUUAGCGCGUCUGGCUGAGGUUCACGGAUGGGGGCUGAGGGUCAUAUUUGUAAGUGUAUCCCAUUACGACUAUUUUCCAAGGCCACAGAAGAUUAACCGGGUUUUCAUAGGUGAUUUCUCCUUUCAUGGUGCAGAAUUCGUGUAUAACCAUCACUAGGAUCACUAAACACUCCACGAUAACCCCACCAGCAACUUCUACGUCUAUUUUCCAAGGCCACAGAGAAUAUUAACCAGUUUUUUAUCGGUGAUUUAUCAGUUCGUUGUGUAGAAGUCGUGUACAACCAUCACUAGCAUCACAAAACAGCCCAUGAAAACCCCACCAGCAAUGUCUACUGGAGGUUUUCCAUUCAAACCGUCAAACUGAAGUGUCGAUACGUUAAAGAAGUCGGACUCUGAAGCACAUACAUUCAACAAGGCUUUCGUAGGACUUGUGGGCAUUUCCGUGGGUAGCUUUAUGACCCCGGUAGUAGUUUGACCCUUCUUCUGUAUCGUGAACGUGAAGAAAGACUCAUAACAGCCCGAGUAAUCUUCUCUCCGGCCUUCGGAAAUGGUUGAUGUGAGGGAGGAAGCGUCUGAGAUUAGCGACCUCUGUGAAGCUCUUAAACGUGCAGGAGAUACGAGAGAUGGAGCUGCUAAGAGGAGUUGGGUUUCAAGGUCACAGGAGAGAGAGAGAGAGAGAGAGAGAGAGAGAGAGAGAGAGAGAGAGAGAGAGAGAGAGAGAGAGAGAGAGAGAGAGAGGAUUUUUUCUUUUUUUUACAUCAUAGGAAGCAGCUCAACGACGUAAAAAUAAAACAGAAAAACAGACAGACGAGAGAGAGAGAGAGAGAGAGAGAGAGAGAGAGAGAGAGAGAGAGAGAGAGAGAGAGAGAGAGAGAGAGAGAGAGAGAGAGAAAGAGACUGGAUGAUUUCUUAGUGGAACGGAUUAUUAUUAUUAUUAUUUUUUACAUUAAAGGAAGCAACUCAAGGCCAAAAACUAAAAAAAAAAAAAAAAAAUAAGCCAACUAAGCCUCCUCCUAUAUAGAAACCCCAUACAUUUUUUUCCCCUCUUUUUUUCAUUCUCACGUAAGAGGUAAAUUGGAAUGCACCAGGAGGAAGACGGAUGACUCUUUGAAAUGGAAAGGAUGUGCGGAGCGAGGAAGGGUCGAGGUGGGAGAAGGAAAUGAGAGGUGGGAGAGGAAGGAAGAUGAAGUGUAGGGUGACGGGUGUGUGAAGGGGAAGAGGAAGAGAAAGAUGAAGAGAUGAGAGGAAUGAGGAGAGACAAACAAAAGUAGAGGAGGUAAUGAAAGCUCUGAGGAAGAAGUGAUACAGGAAAAUAGGAGAGGUGGGUGGAGGGAGAGCAAGAGAGGAGGAGGAGGAAGAGAAGAGAAGAAUAAGAGGAUAAAGGAGAUGAGUGACAGGAGACAAACAAAGACAGAGGAGAAAAGACGGGAGGAACACGAGGAGAGGAAGCAGGAAGGAAAAGAAGAAAAAAAAGGAGACAGGAAGAGAUGCAAGGAGGAAGAAAAAGUUAAAAAGAGGAAGAGAUGCAAGUGACGUGAGGGGAAGGGAGAAAGGAGGAAAGAAAAAAAGGAGGAGAAAGGAAGGGAAAAAAAAGAAAGAAAGGAGAGGAUGCAAUGUGACAGGAGGAAGAAAAAGUUAAAAAGAGGAAGAGAGAUGCAAGUGACGUGAGGGGAAGGGAAGAAAGGAGGAAAGAAAAAAAGGAGGAGAAAGGAAGGGA